UACGAAGGGGGCUAGCGUUGUUCGGAAUUACUGGGCGUAAAGCGCACGUAGGCGGACUAUUAAGCCAGGGGUGAAAUCCCGGGGCUCAACCCCGGAACUGCCUUUGAUACUGGUAGUCUCGAGUCCGGAAGAGGUGAGUGGAAUUCCGAGUGUAGAGGUGAAAUUCGUAGAUAUUCGGAGGAACACCAGUGGCGAAGGCGGCUCACUGGUCCGGUACUGACGCUGAGGUGCGAAAGCGUGGGGAGCAAACAGG
rnacentral:rRNA from 1 species